UACGGAGGAUGCGAGCGUUAUCCGGAUUUAUUGGGUUUAAAGGGUGCGUAGGCGGCCUUGUAAGUCAGCGGUGAAAUUUUGCAGCUUAACUGUAACAGUGCCGUUGAUACUGGGGAGCUAGGAUUUGGUUGCUGUGGGUGGAAUGUGUGGUGUAGCGGUGAAAUGCUUAGAGAUCACACAGAAUAUCGAUUGCGAAGGCAGCUCACAAAGCCAAGAUUGACGCUGAGGCACGAAAGUGUGGGGAUCAAACAGGA
rnacentral:rRNA from 1 species